AUGGAGGAGCUCACCCCGGCCUUCUCCUCGUUUUCCUCCAUGGUCGGGUCUCCUGGUGGAGGUGCCGAUGUUGCCGGUUCCACAAUGCAAGAGCCCGUGGCAACGCGGCAAACUGAAGUUGUUCGCCGGCGUCGCACAGGGCGUCUUUGGCGUCGCAGGAAACCCUACCUUGGGGUUGGCACAGGGCAUCUCUGGCGUCGUAGGAAACCCCACCGCGGGGCUGGUGCAGGGAGUGGCCGACCAUCCCACCCUGCUGAAGCCGCAGGGCGUCUCUGCCAAGUCCAUGGUUGGCGAGUCCAACAUAGAAGUUAA
rnacentral:rRNA from 1 species